AGAGUUUGAUCAUGGCUCAGAUUGAACGCUGGCGGCGUGCCUAACACAUGCAAGUCGAGCGGUAACAGGUGUAGCAAUACAUGCUGACGAGCGGCGAACGGGUGAGUAAUGCUUUGGAAUCUUCCCAGUAGUGGGGAAUAACCAGUCGAAAGAUUGGCUAAUACCGCAUACGUCUGUAAAGGGAAAGCGGGGGCUCGUAAGACCUCGCGCUAUUGGAUGAGCCAAAGUCGGAUUAGCUAGUUGGUGGGGUAAUGGCCUACCAAGGCGACAAUCCGUAGCUGGUCUGAGAGGACGACCAGCCACACCGGAACUGAGACACGGUCCGGACUCCUACGGGAGGCAGCAGUGGGGAAUAUUGGACAAUGGGGGAAACCCUGAUCCAGCGACGCCGCGUGUGUGAAGAAGGCCUGCGGGUUGUAAAGCACUUUUAGUGGGGACAAAAAGCUAUGGACUAAUACUCUGUGGUCUUGAUUUAACCUACAGAAAAAGCACCGGCUAACUCUGUGCCAGCAGCCGCGGUAAUACAGAGGGUGCGAGCGUUAAUCGGAAUUACUGGGCGUAAAGCGCGCGUAGACGGUUUUGUAAGUCAGAUGUGAAAUCCCUGGGCUCAACCUGGGAACUGCAUUUGAGACUGCAUGGCUAGAGUAUCGAAGAGGGAAGUGGAAUUUCCGGUGUAGCGGUGAAAUGCGUAGAUAUCGGAAGGAACACCAGUGGCGAAAGCGACUUCCUGGUCGAAUACUGACGUUCAUGUGCGAAAGCGUGGGGAGCAAACAGGAUUAGAUACCCUAGUAGUCC
rnacentral:rRNA from 1 species